rfam:Stegodyphus mimosarum contig26190, whole genome shotgun sequence.
GCCUUCGUGGUGUAAAGGUCAGCAUGUACGACGCGUAACCGAGAGGUCCGUGGUUCGAUUCCCGGCGAAGGCG